GUCCUGGCGGGGAGCCCACAGGGCCACGGGGCACCCACCUCGUCCUACGUGCGCCUCGUGUCCCAGCCGAGAGCCCCGAGCCCAGAGCUGGGCCCCGAGCAGCUCGUGCUGUGGGGUCCCUGGAGCCUCAGUGCACCUCCAGGCCCACUCCACGGGGAGCCAAUCAGGGAAAAAGGACGAGGGAGAAGACAGCAGUGUCCAGGGCCGAGGAUCCCAGUGAUUAGGUGGGCGCUGCGUCCGCCUGGGGUGGGGGUGAGCCGCUGGAGGGGGCACCGCAGGCCUGCAGGUGGGUCCUCCCAGGUGGCUGCUCCCAGGUGGGUCCUCCCUGCAUUUCUCCCAGUCGCCCAGGGUGGAUUCCGGGCGCCGGCAGCCGCCCCCCUCGUCUUGCUUCCGGGCGGGCCUGCGAGCCCCACUUCUGCUGCUCCCGCUGGGCUGGACGGCGGAGCGGUCCUCUCACCUGUGCCCUGAGCGCGUGCGGAGGACACACCGCCGGCCCCGACCUCCGACCGGGACCUGACCUGAGCUGUUCCGACUUUGUGCUGGUGCAACAGCGACACACACUCAGGGGAAGCCACGCUUUGGGCCCUGAAGCCGCUCUCCCCGCCGGAGCCGGGCAGCCGUCGGUCCCACGCUCGCGCCCACGGUCCACACCGGGACUCAGCCGGUUCCCUGGGAUUUCAACCCGGUCUACACAACAGGGUAGAGAGCAGGCUGGAGGCCCUCCCCUCCGGCGCCAGCCUGCGGCCAGGUCCGGCCCAGCAACAGCCAGAAGCGAAGGCCCACGGAGGCAGAGGGGUCUCAGGGGCCGCGACCCCGUGGGUCACCAGGACGGGACCCCGAGCCAAGCUGCUCACGCUGACACCUCUGCGAGCCUGAACCCCGACGGCGCGGGCUGCUUCUGUUCCCCGGGCUUCAGGGCGGAGCAAGGCCGAGCUGCGGGGGCCACAUCGGGCUCCUCGCCCACCCGCGCCGCCAUGCAGGACUUUGCUGGGUGCAGCAGGUCCGGGGCGGCCGCGCAUCUGUGGCUCCAACGUUUCCGCUACGAGGCCUUCGGGGCUGUGGGUGCGACCUCACGAGGCUCCCCCGCGGCGUGCGCAUCCCGAAGGUGUGCGGCUUCCCACCUGGGCCGCU
rnacentral:lncRNA from 1 species